rnacentral:tRNA from 1 species
UUUAAUAUGGCAGAUUAGUGCUUUGAAUUUAAGAUUCAAAUAUAAAGAUUUUUACUCUUUUAUUAAAA